GGGGAGAAGAAGCUUUGAUCUCCUUAACCACGCCUUCCACCAACCUCCCUUCCGAAUCUCUGCACACAUAAGCUAUGGAGUUCCUCAACAAACCAGGUUCGUGCGUCCCAUCUACAUUAAUCUUCCAAGCUCCUUCGUGUGGUGGAAUCCAUUGCUGAGGUGGUUCAAUUUCGUGGGUUUCAGAUCUGGUAUUUUCGUGGGUUUUCUGUCCAGCACCCCUCUGAUUCGGUCCUUCUUUGCGCCGAGAUCUCGGUUCCUCUCUUUCUUCUCUGCUCCGUGGACCGGCGUUGCCUCUGGUGGCCAACCCAACAAACCCCUGUUUCAGCUCACCGCUCGGUCGAAGACGCCUGUGCUCUGUUCCUUUCUCCGAUCGUUCCUCCUCGCUGACGCUCUCCGCUCGGGUUGGAGGUCUUAGAACGUCACUUGGCCUCCCAGCUGCAGAUCCACCGGUUCUUCCCUCAGUUCGUCCUUCAUAGUGCUUUCCCGAGGGGUUCAUCGAGGAAGGCUCUGCACCGGUCCCUGUUCUGCUACUGAUUUCAGCUUGCUCUUGUGCAGCAAGCCGUCUAUUGCCCCCACUCCAGGCGCCAUUGAGUUCCGAUCGCAG
rnacentral:lncRNA from 1 species